GAUGAACGCUGGCGGCGUGCCUAAUACAUGCAAGUCGAGCGAACAGACGAGGAGCUUGCUCCUCUGACGUUAGCGGCGGACGGGUGAGUAACACGUGGAUAACCUACCUAUAAGACUGGGAUAACUUCGGGAAACCGGAGCUAAUACCGGAUAAUAUAUUGAACCGCAUGGUUCAAUAGUGAAAGACGGUUUUGCUGUCACUUAUAGAUGGAUCCGCGCCGCAUUAGCUAGUUGGUAAGGUAACGGCUUACCAAGGCAACGAUGCGUAGCCGACCUGAGAGGGUGAUCGGCCACACUGGAACUGAGACACGGUCCAGACUCCUACGGGAGGCAGCAGUAGGGAAUCUUCCGCAAUGUGCGAAAGCCUGACGGAGCAACGCCGCGUGAGUGAUUAAGGUCUUCGGAUCGUAAAACUCUGUUAUUAGGGAAGAACAAAUGUGUAAGUAACUAUGCACGUCUUGACGGUACCUAAUCAGAAAGCCACGGCUAACUACGUG
rnacentral:rRNA from 1 species